rnacentral:rRNA from 1 species
UACGUAGGGGGCUAGCGUUGUCCGGAUUUAUUGGGCGUAAAGAGCGUGUAGGCGGCCAGAUAGGUCUGCUGUGAAAACUCGAGGCUCAACCUCGAGCUGUCGGCGGAAACCAUUUGGCUAGAGUCCGGAAGAGGAGAGUGGAAUUCCUGGUGUAGCGGUGAAAUGCGCAGAUAUCAGGAAGAACACCUAUGGCGAAGGCAGCUCUCUGGGACGGUACUGACGCUGAGACGCGAAAGCGUGGGUAGCAAACAGG